rnacentral:rRNA from 1 species
UACAGAGGUCUCAAGCGUUGUUCGGAUUCAUUGGGCGUAAAGGGUGCGUAGGCGGUGAGGUAAGUUGGAUGUGAAAUCCCGGGGCUCAACCCCGGAACUGCAUUCAAUACUGCUUUGCUAGAGUACUGGAGAGGAGAUUGGAAUUCACGGUGUAGCAGUGAAAUGCGUAGAUAUCGUGAGGAAGACCAGUGGCGAAGGCGAAUCUCUGGACAGUUACUGACGCUGAGGCACGAAGGCCAGGGGAGCAAACGGG